GCCAGGGUGGCAAAGUGGUUUGAGUGGUGGACUACAACUCUCAAGAUCAGGGUACGAUUCUCUGCUCAGCCA